CACGGGGGGAGCGAGCGUUGUUCGGAAUCACUGGGCGUAAAGGGCGUGUAGGCGGUCAGGUAAGUGGAAUGUGAAAUUCCCCGGCUCACCCGGGGGCGUGCAUCCCAAACUGCCUGGCUUGAGUAUGGGAGAGGAUGGGGGAAUUCCUGGUGUAGCGGUGAAAUGCGUAGAUAUCAGGAGGAACACCGGUGGCGAAGGCGCCCAUCUGGCCCAAUACUGACGCUGAGGCGCGAAAGCUAGGGGAGCAAACGGG
rnacentral:rRNA from 1 species